UACAGAGGGUGCGAGCGUUAAUCGGAAUUACUGGGCGUAAAGCGCACGUAGGUGGUUUAGUAAGUCGGAUGUGAAAUCCCCGGGCUUAACCUGGGAACUGCAUUCGAAACUGCUUUACUAGAGUAUGGGAGAGGGCAGUGGAAUUUCAGGUGUAGCGGUGAAAUGCGUAGAUAUCUGAAGGAACAUCAGUGGCGAAAGCGACUGCCUGGACCAAUACUGACGCUCAUGUGCGAAAGCGUGGGGAGCAAACAGG
rnacentral:rRNA from 1 species